rnacentral:rRNA from 1 species
AGGCAGCAGUGGGGAAUAUUGCACAAUGGGCGCAAGCCUGAUGCAGCCAUGCCGCGUGUAUGAAGAAGGCCUUCGGGUUGUAAAGUACUUUCAGCGAGGAGGAAGGCAUUAAGGUUAAUAACCUUGGUGAUUGACGUUACUCGCAGAAGAAGCACCGGCUAACUCCGUGCCAGCAGCCGCGGUAAUACGGAGGGUGCAAGCGUUAAUCGGAAUUACUGGGCGUAAAGCGCACGCAGGCGGUCUGUCAAGUCGGAUGUGAAAUCCCCGGGCUCAACCUGGGAACUGCAUUCGAAACUGGCAGGCUAGAGUCUUGUAGAGGGGGGUAGAAUUCCAGGUGUAGCGGUGAAAUGCGUAGAGAUCUGGAGGAAUACCGGUGGCGAAGGCGGCCCCCUGGACGAAGACUGACGCUCAGGUGCGAAAGCGUGGGGAGCAAACAGGGUUAGAUACCCUGGUAGUCCACGCUGUAAACGAUGUCGACUUGGAGGUUGUGCCCUUGUGGCGUGGCUUCCGGAGCUAACGCGUUAAGUCGGCCGCCUGGGGAGUACGGCCGCAAGGUUAAAACUCAAAUGAAUUGAAUUGACGG